CGCGCCCUUUUCAGAGGAACCUUGGCCACUCCCCAGCCAGUGUCCCCUCCCGAAGUCCCUGGGUGCUGGGGGACUGGGACAUCCCAGGAAUCCUGCUGGAGCAAGAUGACGGCCUCGGGGAACAGUGCCAGACAGAUCAGGGCAGAGUGAUGGGAACAGGCGGCCGCUUCGCUAACCUUUCAGGAGCCACAGAGGAACAAGAUUCUAACUCGAGCUGUUAAUUUUAUGGAGACCUUCAGUGCUUUCUUUUGGAAAGACAAUCAGAAUGGCAAGAAUCUCUAAGAAAGGAUAUAAAAGGGAAAAGCAGCCAUCUUGAUCUGGGCAGGGCACUGGCACAUCAAGGGGCUGACAGCAAGUGUACUCUGGCCCUGCCUGGAGUUCCUCAACCUCAACUCACCAUCGAAAUGGGCC